rnacentral:lncRNA from 10 species
CCAGUGAUAGCAGGAAAAUGCACAAUGUGAGUAGUGAUUCCUAAGCAUUUAAGGGGUGAUUUUCAAGUAAUAGAGUGAGCAGAAGACACCAUGUACAGGGACUCCAGAUGCCCCAGGCAGAGGUAAAAUGCUCGAAAGAGAGGAACAUCACUACCUGGCGGGCAGGUGGGGACAGGCUUGCCACGGAUGGUCUGGGGAUGGGAUAACUCUCUGGCUCCCACUCUGAGAAGCAGGAGGUGAUCUGGCCACAAGCCCUCAAGACGUGUUGAGUUUGGGAAUACCUCACUGCUAGGGAAUACCAGGAAUUAUGCAAUUCACUGUCUUCAUUUUAAAAUUCUGUAUGGGAGAAGCUAAAAAGUGAAGUUGGGGGGUUUUAGUAUAUUUCAUUUGCAUUGGUUUACUCUUCUCGUUCCUUGAUUAUCUGAGAGGAGGCUGCUGUUACGGAAAAGCGAAAACCAGGAGUGGUUUGAAUAUUCUUCCUUGAGACUUUUGACUGUUUCUAUAAGAAGUGGAUCUGCAUGUGCCUUUUGGAUAUUGUGUUCCUCAUGACAAUGCCUUUUGUUCAUAGAUAGUUCCCAGUUUCCAAAGACUUUCCCCAUUAUAACAUUUGUUCCAUCCUCAAAACCGUCAAAUGCAAAGGCCUCCAUUUUAUUAAAGGAGAAAGUACGACUCAAAGAAGUCAAGUGACUCACCCGAGGUCACACAGCUAAAUUCUAGCAGAGCAAGGGACCAAGAUAGUGAAUUCUAAAUGCAGAGACCUUCUUAUUGUUCCAAUUUUCUGUCCGACAAUGCCCACCUCCUGGAGUGAGCAAGUCUUGCUGGAGACACAACAGCAGCUACAAGUGGUCCUCCCGACUAUUCCAGAAAUCCUUUUUCCACAGUGAAAAACUGAAUUUGCCUGCCCCAGUUUCCCAGCCGCCUCAUGACUCGAUGAGCAAUUGCUUUAACUCUGACAAAAUUAGGCCACCUCCAACCUAAAUGUAACCCGUUUUCAGAGUGAGACCCUGCAUGGAGGCAGCUCUUUUCCUGAAAGGAUAACAAAAGCAUGCUUUUGUGUGUAUUUCACUUGAUGGAAAGAAAUCCCCAGUGAGGCCGUUUUUUCCCCCUGAAUUCUCCCAAGUCCAGAAUGUAUCCAAGUUUCCAAUAUUACCUCAGAAGAGCCAUUCAUCUAUGAAGAUGGCCGAAUUGUCUUCCAGCUCGGUAGACAGUGUGUCUGCGAGAGAGAAGGUGCUGCUAUUUUGGGUGUUUUGUACUUGUGGAGCAGAAAGAAUGCUGAAUCAGGAAGGCAGGUGAUUCAAGACUAAGCUCGGCCUUGAAGGGGUCACCACUAGAUAUUUUCCCUUAUGAUCUCUGCAGGAAAAUAGACCAAGGAGAUCCUCAGCUGGCUGCAUUGUAGGACUACAACCAGCAACAUCUCUGAUCCACGGGCCAUCUGACUCUUCUGAAAGAUCCCCAGUGGCCUGGUGUUACGGUUUGAAUUGUAUCCAUCCCCAGCUCCAAUUCGUACGUGGAAAUCCUAACUACCAGUACAUAGAAUGUGACCUUAUUUGGAGCUAGGGUCUUCACAGACAAAAUCAAGUUAAAAUGAGGUAAUUAGGAUGAUCCCUAAUCCAAUACAGCUGGUGUCCUUAUAAAGGAGGGAAAUGUGGAGACAAUUAUUCACUUAGAGAGAACACCGUGUGAGGAUGAAGGCAGAGAUCAGGUGAUGCUUCUGUAAAUCAAAGAGCACCAAAGAUUGGAGUGAGUUGGAUGAAGGCAAGAAGCAAACGAACAAAGAACACCAAAGAUUGUCCGCAAAUCACCAGAAGCCGGGAGAGAGGCCUGGAGCCGAUUCUUUCUGGGUCUGCAUCUGCCAGUUCAGCCGGCCCUGACUGAAAAUAUUUGGGAAAAAAAUUACAAUUAAAAAGUAAGAAUAUUCACCUUCUGCCAUGAGCAAAAGCCUCCUGAAGCCUCACCAGAAGCUGAACAAAUGCUGGCGUCAUGCUUGUACAUCCUGCAGAAACGUGAGCCAAAUAAAU